rnacentral:rRNA from 1 species
AACCUGUUUUAUAAUCGAUAAUCCACGAUGGACCUUACUUAAAUUUGUAUUCAGCUUAUAUACCGUCGUUAUUAGAAUAUUUUAUUAGAAAGUUAAUUUUCAAGAUUUUUAUAAGAAAGAAUAUCAGAUCAAGGUGUAGUUUAUGUUUAAGUAAAAAUGGGUUACAAUAAAAUUAUUUAGACGAAUAUAAAUUUGAAAUUUUUAUUGAAGGUGGAUUUGAUAGUAAAAUUAUAAAGAUAAAUAAUUUGAUUUAAGCUCUAAAAUAUGCACACAUCGCCCGUCACUCUUACUAUUAAGGUAAGAUAAGUCGUAAC